CCGGCCAGACUCCUCUGCAGCUCUCAGGCCUCCCGCACAAGCUCAGCCUGCCUGGCACACACGUGGAGAUUCUCCCCUCCCUGUGUGGCGCUAAGGCACCUUGGUGAGCUCCUCAUGGUCCACAUGGGCUGCGAGUGUGUGGGAUGGCCUGGGGCGACUGGAGAAGUCUGUUCACCUGGCCCUUUGGGAGCCAAGUGGAGGAGGCUCCAGAUCAGCCCCAGAAACCCUGUUCGCUGUUCUCAGUGAGGGCGUCUGCCACGAGACUGGGGCCAGAGGGGCCAUGUAGGGAUGAGGAGUGGCGGUGACUGGGAGGUGAGGAUGGCCAGAAAGUGCUAGUCUCCCAUCAUCCCUCUGUCUUGGUGAACUCCGCUGUAUCUUAGAAUCCUGCUUGACCCGGCUCUUCAGGAAGCUGCCCUGGCAGGCCGGGCUGAGCCUGAAGAUGCCUGGCCUGGCUCUGUGGCCUCUGUGAGCCCCGGCCCCUCCUGGCCUCAGUUCUAGCUGGAGGAAACAGGACUCCCUCCUCAUCCUGGGAAGGCGGUCUCUUCCUCUCAGCGGGACUUUGAAGAGGCCGUGAAGAACCCACAGGGCCCUGCAGCAGUGGAACCAGACACCCAGAUUCACCACCCUGGAGUCGUUCCCAGCCUAGCACAGAGCCUGGGAAACAGAUGGAGAAAGCGUAGGGUGGGAGGGCCCAACAUCCUGGGCGGCUGGGGAAAUGACAGCAGCCGGGAUCCCAGCACUUAGCAUGGGUCAGUUAACAAUGCAUCCGGCCCCACCCAGCCUGUGAGGAGCCCCUUCUGUUCCUCACGCUCACACACCUGAAACUGACUCUCUGCUGGGCUCACUUGUCCACACUGCUGCUACUACCACCGCCACAGGGCCAGGAUUAGACCCCAGACAACCUGGACCGGAAGUCCACACUCCCAUCCACGGAACUACAAAACAAAAUGAAAACCAUCUCUCCCUCUGGCAGGGAUGACGGAUAAUAGGUUUGAUGCCAUCAAGUGCUGCUGAGGUCACCUCACCACCACCACCACCACGGGGAGCCCACGUCUGAUUACCUAGGGAGCCCCAAGAGUUCGGGUCAGAGUGGAGCGAACAGCUCUUUCAUCUCAUCUGCGUUUAGGUUGCCAUGCAGGAAAGAGUCGUGCAUUGCUUUGGUUUGUAACUCAUUUAAAAGGAGAAUGGGGGCAGUGAUACAGGGACAGCAUGUGCGAGGCCCGAGUUGCAUCCUUAGCCCAUCCCCCAAACAGAUGGGGGAGUAUGUUGGGGAAAGGGAAUCAAAGAUGGACAGAAUGGAAGGCUCUCAGACAGUUGUCCCUGACCGUGACCUCCUGCAGGCUUUGUCUGGGCGAGGCCUGUUCUUUUAUUGGGCACAUAUGUAUUUUCUGGGGGCCCCUAGGUCCUCGGCUCUGUGCCGGGCUGUGUGCUCUCCCCAGGCACACCCAGGGUGUGUCCCGACAGAGGGGCUCCCCUUCUGUCCCUGUCUGGGCGCUCUGUGGUAACAAGGUCAGGGCUGCAGGGAGGAGCCAGUUCUGGCCAGAGCUCUGAUCUGUGACGGGCUGUUCCCCGGAGCAGCUGCUACAACAACAUUUACUUUGUACAGUGGCCAAGAGAGAGAGCAAGAAAAGGAAGAGAGAGAGAGAGAGAGAGAGAGAGAGAGAGAGAGAGAGAGACAGAGGGAGAGAGCACACAAGCCUACUCUAUUGCAAAAUGUUUCUGACAAAAUCUGGCACUCCUGGUUCUAAUCAAAAUACUGAACUUUGGAACAAAUUAACAUUCCACAGCCCUCACUGGGAAGGAGAAUUCAGCCGAGACGACUUCAGUUCACAACAACAAAAAUAGCUUCUCCCGGGGAAGACACAUUCUGCUAACAAGGUCACUUGUGUUUUGCUUCCCCUGCCAUCUGGCUGAGCGGCAACCAGGGGCUGGCACUGGUACCAGCGUCUUGUGUGGAGAGGGGCUGGGAACCGGGUGGUGCCGCUGAAGGCUUCUCAGCCUCCUGGCAAAGGGUGUAGGCGUGGAGUUACCUUCAGACAGUCCCAGAACUGGGGCAGAUGGAGCCCAGUCUCACCCAGCCGGGCUCAGCUUCGAGCUCCGAGCAGCAGGAGGUGUGACACCAGCACACAGCAACAAGCAGAUCUGGAGGCCAGAAGUGUGAAAUCAAGAUGUUGUCAGGGCUCUGUUCCUUCUGAGACCUUCUGAGACCUUCUUUGCCUCCUCCCAUUUUCUGGCACACCAGUCAUAUUGGAUUAAAGGCCCAAGACUCCAUUCUGACCUCAUCUUGGCUAAUUGCAUCUCCAUGACCCUAUUUCCAAAUAAGGUCACAAUCUCAGGAUGUGGAGCAGCACCCCAACCUUUAUCAAACAGAUGCUUCUAGCAUUGCUUAAUUCAGUUGCGACAACCAAAAAAUGUUAGUGUCUCCUGGUGUGUGUGUGUGGCAAAAUUACCCCUAGUUGAGAAGAAUGAGAAUAUUCAUUUAGGGGUUGGAAAUCUUAAAGUUGUAAAAAUCAUCCAAAUUUCUCUUUAUCUUGCUUUCUGUUAAAUACUUUCCUGUGUUGUAAGGCUGCUCUGCUCUGAGACCACUGGCACCGUGAGCAGAUGGCAUGACUUGGCUGUCCCCUGCUCCUGCCUCCGUGCACCUGGGACCUGUGGGUGGCCUCGUUUGCAUGGAGGAAAAAGAUAAUAUCCCUAUUUAUUACAAAGACUCAGGCAUUUGAAGGACCCAACCAAUGGUGUGACAUGUGUGGGCACAUGAACUUCACCUUGGAUGCCCCAGAAGUUUCUAGAGCUGACUUCCUUUAACUAGAAGGAAUAUGACUGUGGUCUUAGAAGAAAGACAUUACCUGGAGGAAGUUGAAAGCCAGCAUGCAGAGAAGGAAGACUACGGAAGGGCUCAGGCAGCUACACAGCUCUGCAGAACAAAAUGUUCUUGUCCAGGCCAUGGGGCCACAGGCUGGGACAGAGGGGAGGAACAAUGAUGUCAUGGAAUGAGAAGGAGUUGGGAACACUAUUGGAAUGAAUGUUCCAUUGAUUACACGAGUUGCUGACAAGCAACAGCAGAAAUGGAGCUGGGUGAUCAGUCUCAAAUUCUCCCCCUGACAUUUGCAAGAAAAGUGGUGAACACAUCCCAGACACCCACUUCCUACCCCCGUUAUGUGUAUGAGGUAAGCGAUCUGGCCUUGGACGUUAAAUCUCCUCUCUUAAUAGACUCCUGGACAUGCCAGAAUGUCUGCUGGGUCUGAAUGUCUUAUUUCAAUGCAGGCUCCCAUCUUUUUUCAGUGUGUUUAAUUAAAAAUAAAUAAAGCAGUCCAUUCGGAGGGCUUUUCCUCCCACUGAUGGAUGAGGCGAGUACUCGGGGACUCUUCAGCAGGGUGGACAGCUUGGCAAAGAUGUCUGUGUCCUAAUCUCUGGGACCCGAGAUUAUGUUACCUUCUGCGGCAAAGGGGAUUUUCCAGAUAUGAUUAAAUUAAGGGUCUUGAGCUGAAGAGAUGAUCCUGGAUUAGCUGGGUGGGUCCUCAGCAGAGGCAGGCACUUGGGGGGGAGGCUGGAGGCAGAGCAAUGAUAAAAGCAGAAGUCCGAAAACGAAAACGCAGCACAACAAACUAAGGAACACGGUGACCUCUAGACGCUGGAAGCAGCAAGGACUCGGAUUCUCCCCUUGAGCCACCAGGAGGAACACAGCCUGCAGCUGCAUCCAGACUUCUGACCUCCAGAACUGCAAGCAAAUAAAAGUAUGUGAUUUGGGGCCACCCCGUUUGUGCUCAUUCACUGCUGCCGCAGCCAGAGAAAACCAACACAGAUUUCCACGUUGAGUCUGGGUUUUCCUUUGAGGCUGUGGCUUUUCCUACUGUGAUCGUAGCUCACAGCUGCUGAGUGGGGACAAUGUGUACCAGAUGCUGAGUAGACAUCAUCUCAGUUCUCCCAGUAACCCUGUGGGCCGGGCACUGGCAUUACCCUUAUUCAGGAGAUGGAGGACUAGGCUUGCAACAGUCUGCUGUAACCAGAGGCGGUUUUGAGCCCCAGGGACACUGAGCAAUGCCUGUAGACAUUCAGAUAGUCACAACCAGGUUUGGGGUGCUCCUGGCAUCUAGUGCAGGAGAAGCCAGGGAUGAAUGACAUGUGUGUGUACACAUGUGCAUAUGGGGUGUGUAUGGGGUUGGUGUGUGGCGUGUGUGUGUGUGUCUGUGUGGUGGGGGCCAGGUUAGGGAGAACAGGGGACCUGGCCUCUGCCUCACUUUCCAUCAUGAUCUGCUCCACUGUCCCCCCAAACUGCCUACAUCAGCAAGAGAUGAGAGAGUUACCAGUGUCAUCCCCCUAAAAUUCUACUUUUUCUCACAUUGAUGUCCCCUAUUUCCUGCCCACUAUUAUUGACUGGCACCUCCUCUCUGUUCUCUUCAUGCCUCCCUCCAUCACUGCCUCAGAGCAUACUUUUCUGAUUGGAUGAGGCCCCUGCCGCCAGCUCCGGUACCGAUACAGGUCUCAGCACCAAUGUACACUGGAAAGUGGAAAGUCUGCCCCACCUGAGCAGUGGCUGAGCAGCUUGCUGUUUGCAAAGUGUCACUGCCGGAAAGAAGUGGAUGGCAAGAUGCAUCCUCUACGGGGAUCAUGACCUGACGUGGCCCUCUCGCCUGGUCACCUGGUUAGGCCAAGUCACCAGACAGUCCCUGUGUUCUCACCUGCAAAUUGGGAGUCACUUACUUGAAAUUAAGUAAGAGAUGGAGGAAUCUGUUCCUCCCUCAGAGAUGCAUGAGGUAUUGUGCCACACUGGCUCCUGGCUUCUGGUGACACUGACAUUUCUGGGAUUGUGGCUGCCUUCCUCCCAUCUCUCCCUCUCUUUGUGUGGCCUUCUCUCUCCCAUGUGUCCGAGGGUCAAAUCUCCCUCUGAUUCUCUCUUAUAAAUACUGAUGCUGUUAGGCCCUGCUGGGGUAACCCAAGAUGAUCCUGUCUCAAGAUCCUUAACUCAACUUUUGCCAUUUAAGGGAACAUUCACUCAUAGAACCCUGAAAUUAGGCAACAGAUAUCUUUGGAGGAUCAUUAUUUCAGCCUAGCACAAGGAGGUAGGUACUUUACACAUCUUUACAUUUCAUAUCAAGCCUAAGAAUAGCUAUUAGUUUUGCUGUUUCACAGAUGAGGAAAUUGAGGCUUGGAGACAUUUACUAUGGAAUUUCAGAAAGUUCAUUCCGUUUCUGAGACACCUUGCCAUUUUCAUCUAUAAAAUGAGAAUCGUGCCCUUCCUGACCUAGGCCAGAUGAAAGUAGAGAAUUUUUAUACAAAUUCUUAGCAAAGUAUUAUGCAUUACAGAGAUGCAAGGGGUUAUUUUUUGCCUUGAGUGGAUUUUCUAGAAAGUCUUCACGUGGGAGAGGAGAGAUGACUUGGCUGAGGAUUGUGAGUGAAAUGCCAAAAUAUUUCUAGAAAUCAUCAGUGUCUUAGAGUGCUGAGUCUUCAUUACAAUAGCAAGUGAAAUUCUGAUGUAGAUGCACUUUAAAACAUUCCCUGUUUGAGGAAUCAUGCCUGGAAGCCACUUCCCAAAGAGAGGCAGCAAGAAAUGCUGAAUUCUUUCAAGUUGAAAGUGGGAGAGAUGGCACAUUUUAUUCUUUAGAAUGCUCCUUCUUCGGCUCAUCCUUCUAGGCAUUCUUAACAGGUAUGUUUGAGUUUGAUUGCAUUUGCACCAGGUGCUGUUCACGUCUGUUAACUCUCUGCAGUUUCUGUCAUCUUGGUAAUAGAGAAAGGAUGGUAGGAGCAGCAAGUGAGUGAGAGGUUGCAUAGGUAAGCAGGAAAUUGACUCCAGGAAGAGAAUGGCAGGCACGACAAAGAACAUUUAGGAGGAAGCUAGACGUCUUUAUCAAAAUUGAUUUUUGACUGGACAGGCCUCUGCUCUGCAUACAUGCUAUAUUUAUACAUCUAGAUCAGAUGUGGAAAACAUGGCCACUCAGGACAGAGCCCGGCCAGCACCACAGCAGACAUCACUAAUCAAUCACAGUGACCCAGCUCUCCAGGCACCCACUGCCAGUCAAUGAGCUCUAUCUAUUGCCUAGUACUAUUGUGCUAGUAGAUAAGCCUAGGACAUAAAUUUCACUGCAUUAAUUAACUUACUUAAUUCAAAAGACUUUUUCACCUGCCGUUGUACCCAAUCUUAAGCUGCUUUUUUACUAUUUUAGUGACGCCUGGUGUGUUUGCAACCCAAUAAUACCAGCUACCAAUUGCUUGCUGUGCACCAAGCUCUGUGGAUUGAAUUCUCACAAAUCAUAGUGUUUUAGUUGACUGAACUUCAUUUGAAUAAGGUGAGAGUCAAAUGAAAAGUUCCAUCAUUUACAGUGUAUUUGAAGACUGCUUCUCUAGAGAGUAGUGUUUCCGCAGUGGAUUUCGGGGAAUAUGUCUGCUGAGAUACUAAACCUUGAUUGCACUGCAGUGCUGGGAUGGAACCGAGGGCCUCGUGCACAAUGGACAAGUGCUUGACCACGGAGCUCCACCUCAGUCCUUUACUGAGCCUUAGACUUUAUCUUCAUGUGCUCUCUAGACAACUCCUGUGUUAACAUUUGAGGCUUGUAUAGGCCAAGCAUCCCUAAUCUGGAAAUCAAAAGUGCUCCAAAAUCCAAAACUUUCUGAGCACUGACAUGCUGCCAUAGUGGAAGUUCAGUUCCUUGUGGCUACGGAACAGAGACCCUGUGUCGUUGCUGGCUGCUCCCCGCUCCGGGCGGCUGCCCACACUCCUUGUCACACAGUUCCUUCUGCCUUCCAGCCAGCGAUGGCACAUGGGCUCCUCGUUCUCAGAAGCUCUGACUUUUCUGUUGCUGACUUUAGAAGCCUUCAAGGGUGGUCCUGCCAAUCCCUGCCACAGCAGCAGCCGUGUUAGUGUGGUUGUAUGUACAGCCCGGGGCAGGAACUCUCACAGGCAGGCUUAGAAUUCUGCCUCCCGCAAGGCUUUUGACCUAAGUGUUAGACCAGGUCUUUUGCUGACCCUGACUUCAAAAUGUUUGAAUGCACAGUUGUGCAAGGAGUUCCCAUAUUGUGGCUGACAUUGAAGAAGAGUUGUUUAAGGUGCGACAUUCUGCAGAUCUAUGGGUACUGCCUACACUGCCUCGUGCUGUUGAUUACUGCAUUGAUGGCUUCAGAAGCUCUCCACGUGUUGAUCAAGACCUUGUUGAACCUUGACAGAGUGAUAAAUUGCAUGCUUGUUUCCCCUCA